rnacentral:lncRNA from 7 species
GGUGUCAUAUCUAUGAAGACUUCAGAAAAGAAAUACAUGAGCAAAGUUACUACAAUUCAUGUGGGUAGGAGAGAGAAGUGAUUUGCAGCGGAUUACACUGAAAACACUCCAGGUCUCAUUGAGCUCUGAGGUCACAGUUAUUUACCUGAUAAGCAGAAAGUUUUAGUGAAUACCAAGACUAAGGACAAAACAAAACAACAACAACAACAACAAACAACAAAAACACGAAAUAAACACCACAGACAGAUUAGGCAAGAUGAAAAGAGCUGGAGGGUGCAUCACAGUGGAAGCUCCAAGUAAAUGUGGCAUUGUCAUAGGAGUUUACAUAUUUUAAACUAAUAGCUGAACUUUAAUACAUAUGUAAUAUCCCAAGUUUUAAAGGUAAGUUGGAGAAAAGACAAAAUAUGUUUUAAGAUCUAAUUCAAAACAUGGAUAUUCAAUACAGAUUCCAAACUUCCAUUUUCAGUUUUUCUUUAGAGCCAGCCAAGCUUUUCCCAUUUUACAAUAGCAUAAAAAAGGGAGAAUGUGUCCCACAUUGUCAUGUUUGUCAGCUACUUCAUGUCGGAGAAGGUAGAAGAAUGUUAAUAGUUCUUUUCCAUGCAAAUUUUGUUACAACAAAGAUUUAAUGUUGAUUUGUCUUGCUAUCUCACAAACACAAAGGUUUGUGUACAUUUUAAAAGCUGUAAUGCAUUUUCUGUUUAAAAUGUAGUCAUUAUGGUGGCACAAUAUAUCACAGAUGGAAGAUAGAAAAAGGGACAGUCUUGCAAAGAAUGUAUACAGAACUUGCAUUUACUCAAACUGUUUGACAAACACAGUCACAAGGUCAGUUUGAACACUCACGUAUGUGGGAAGCCCCAUUAUAGUCAGUGAGAUAAUUCAUUUGGAUAGCCCUCAGCAACUGAAAAAAGGUUAAUCACCUGAUAGAAAUCUGUUUAUAAAUGAUUUGAGAAAGAAAACAAGGAUUACAAAGGCACAAAUUCACAGGAAAUCAUUUCAUCUGUCUGACUUGUGAGGAAAAGUUGUUAAAAAUGAAACUGAGCAUUGCUGCUGUGAUAAAUAAAUAAUAUCAAAGGACAAAAGGGCACAUUUGAAAGAAGAUAUAAAUCCACAUAUCAUAGUGAACCAAAUGGUCUGUCACAGAAUAGUAUCCAUCAAAGCAAGUUCAUGAUAUUGGAGAAAAAAAUGCUCUUGUCAUAGAUUAAUCAGACUUUUAUCAGAGCACUCAAGAAGUCUUUUAACUGCUUUUUCCUUUCUUUUUUUUCCCUUUCCCUAUACUUUGUGUCAGAAAGUGUCUGCAUUAUCUCCCCAUCCUAGUAAAUAAAGUCAACUUCAAAACAGAGAUUAUACAUGUUUGCAUUGAAAUCAUUUUUUCUCAAUAAAUAUGAAUAUAUAAAUACCAUCCAUCAAAAACUCUAUUAAUCUGUAAUAUCAUAUAACUUCUGAAAGUCAUAUAUAUAAGCGUUAUUAUUGUUGUAUUUUAAUAUGCCCAUAUUUUAAGCCAAUUGUUUGCUUUUUCACACAUAUUUUCCAUUUCAUGUAAUUGCAGAUGAAAUCUUC